rnacentral:rRNA from 1 species
UGGGAACGUGCCCUUUGGUUCGGAAUAACUCAGGGAAACUUGAGCUAAUACCGAAUAAGCCCUUACGGGGAAAGAUUUAUUGCCGAAGGAGCGGCCCGCGUCCGAUUAGCUAGUUGGUGAGGUAACGGCUCACCAAGGCUACGAUCGGUAGCUGGUCUGAGAGGAUGACCAGCCACACUGGGACUGAGACACGGCCAGACUCCUACGGGAGGCAG